rnacentral:rRNA from 1 species
GAUCCUGGCUCAAGAACGAACGCUGGCGGCAGGCCUAACACAUGCAAGUCGAGCGAUCCUUUCGGGGAUAGCGGCGGACGGGUGAGUAACGCGUGGGAACGUACCCUUUGCUACGGAAUAGCCCCGGGAAACUGGGAGUAAUACCGUAUGUGCCCUCUGGGGGAAAGAUUUAUCGGCAAAGGAUCGGCCCGCGUUGGAUUAGGUAGUUGGUGGGGUAAUGGCCUACCAAGCCGACGAUCCAUAGCUGGUUUGAGAGGAUGAUCAGCCACACUGGGACUGAGACACGGCCCAGACUCCUACGGGAGGCAGCAGUGGGGAAUCUUAGACAAUGGGGGCAACCCUGAUCUAGCCAUGCCGCGUGAGUGAUGAAGGCCCUAGGGUUGUAAAGCUCUUUCAGCUGGGAAGAUAAUGACGGUACCAGCAGAAGAAGCCCCGGCUAACUCCGUG